rnacentral:rRNA from 1 species
AGAGUUUGAUCCUGGCUCAGGAUGAACGCUGGCGGCGUGCCUAAUACAUGCAAGUCGAACGAGGUGCUUUUGUAGCAAUACGAGAGUAUCCUAGUGGCGAACGGGUGAGUAACGCGUUGGUGACCUACCCCAAAGUGUGGGAUAACAGUCCGAAAGGACUGCUAAUACCGCAUGUGGUCGUUGGAUUUAGAAACUGAUGACUAAAGGAGCAAUUCGCUUUGGGAGGGACCUGCGUCCCAUCAGCUAGUUGGUGAGGUAACGGCUCACCAAGGCGACGACGGGUAGGGGACCUGAGAGGGUGGCCCCCCACAAUGGAACUGAAACACGGUCCAUACACCUACGGGUGGCAGCAGUAGGGAAUAUUGCACAAUGGGCGAAAGCCUGAUGCAGCAACGCCGCGUGUGUGAUGAAGGCCUUCGGGUCGUAAAGCACUUUUCUGGGAGAUGAGAAAGGACAGUAUCCCAGGAAUAAGUCUCGGCUAACUACGUGCCAGCAGCCGCGGUAAUAC